GUCAUGAAGUGUCAUUGUUUAGGUCAAGAUGAUAAACACUUAAUUCUGAGGGAUGAGUGGAACAAAACACAUUCAUUUGUGGGACGUUGAGUGUUUUUUUUUUUAAUUAUAUAGAGUUAGUGCUGAAUGAUCCAAAGGAAGUGGGGUUUUGGCAGAUUUGUGAUUCUAAAUGUGUCUAAUGGUUCUACUUCAUAAGAGGAAGUGUCCUUUCUGAAGAACAGCAUUCUGGAUGUGAAGAUGCUGAUGAGCUCCUUUCAGAUGACUUACCAGAAAACUAUGAUGAUGUUGUCAUUGUACGACAGUUGUCCGGUGAUAAACCAGAGGGUGUUCAUGAGGAGUAUGAUGAUGUGAAGAAUGUCACAGAGUAUAUGAGUGACAUGUUUGACUAUGAUGAUGUGGAGGAGAAACCAGGAAAACAAGAAGAAACUGAAUACUUUUAAAGUUUCAUUUGUUUUGUUACACCAACAGUGUUUCGUUAAUGUAUUUUUAUGUUUCUGUAUUGAAUUAUACAAUUAAAAUUUCUGCCAGAAAUGUUUUGUUUGAAACUUCAUAAUAAAUGAAGCCACCACUCUGCCAUAUUGCUUUGCUCUAGAAUUCCCACAUAUUCUACUGAGUAAUUAGUAAAUCGUAUAAAUUUUAUUAGAAAACGUCACCUAACGAGUCAGCAUUUUUAUAUCUAAACUCUCACUGUACAUUCUUACAAUUCAAGCGUCCUAAGCCUGUAAAUGGUUGUAUAAUGUUGGGAAUUUCCCCUGCUUAUUAA